AUUGAACGCUGGCGGCAUGCCUUACACAUGCAAGUCGAACGGCAGCACGGGUGCUUGCACCUGGUGGCGAGUGGCGAACGGGUGAGUAAUACAUCGGAACGUACCUUAUCGUGGGGGAUAACGCAGCGAAAGCUGUGCUAAUACCGCAUACGCCCUGAGGGGGAAAGCGGGGGAUCGCAAGACCUCGCGCGAUUAGAGCGGCCGAUGCCUGAUUAGCUAGUUGGUGGGGUAAAAGCCCACCAAGGCGACGAUCAGUAGCUGGUCUGAGAGGACGAUCAGCCACACGGGGACUGGGACACGGCCCAGACUCCUACGGGAGGCAGCAGUGGGGAAUUUUGGACAAUGGGGGCAACCCUGAUCCAGCAAUGCCGCGUGAGUGAAGAAGGCCUUCGGGUUGUAAAGCUCUUUUGUCAGGGAAGAAACACCGGCUCUAACACAGUCCGGGAAUGACGGUACCUGAAGAAUAAGCACCGGCUAACUACGUGCCAGCCGCCGCAGUAA
rnacentral:rRNA from 1 species